UCGCUCUCACAUCAAACAUAGCCAUCACUCACUCUCUCACUGUUGGUGGUUUCGCAUCUGUCAAACCUUAUUCGUUUCUACUUCCAUCUGUUCCGUAUUGAGAUAAUGUAUACAACACACACUUUUGGCCUUUUGAAACAUUUCAUUACUCAGUCUGCUUGGGAUGUGCGCGGGGUUCUUCUGUUGUAGAUUUGCGUUCUGUGUUUCCUGUUUAAAUGUCCAAAAUAACUUGACUAAGAUAAUACUGUUACCGUUUUUUGCCCUGAAGAUGAAGGCGUAGACCUUCGAAACGUUGGUAUUAGACGAAAUAUAGAUAUUGUCGUAUGAAAACCGUGACCAAAAAGCCAUCUCUUCAUAUUAAAAACAAAGUGGUCGUCCUUCC